rnacentral:rRNA from 1 species
UACGUAGGGGGCGAGCGUUGUCCGGAUUUAUUGGGCGUAAAGAGCGUGUAGGCGGCCAGGUAGGUCUGCUGUGAAAACUCGAGGCUCAACCUCGAGACGUCGGCGGAAACCAUCUGGCUAGAGUCCGGAAGAGGAGAGUGGAAUUCCAGGUGUAGCGGUGAAAUGCGUAGAGAUCUGGAGGAACACCGAUGGCGAAGGCAGCCUUCUGGGCCAACACUGACGCUCAUGCACGAAAGCGUGGGGAGCAAACAGG